ensembl:lncRNA
ACUUGUUCAAAUUCGAGUUGAAGAUCCAGAUGGAAAAAUUUUGCCACAUUCCUUUAGACUUCUUCAGGACGUGCCAGAUGUCCACCAUCAUUCAGCAAUCAAAUGCUUAAAUUAUGCACUAUAGAUCAUCAGCAAAUAAGCUUAUUUAGAGUAAAUCAUUAAUUCUGUGGUGGCAGCAGUAAUGCUAAAGAAAGACAUUGGCGGUCCUCAGAGGCUGGCCACAGGAAGGAGACUUCAGCAGAGAGGGGAUAGGAUGAGCUGAGACCGGAGGGUGAAACACUACAGCCAAAAUUGUGGCGUGUGCUUAUGGUAAAGUGAAGAGAGCAGGUUGGCUGACUCCUUAAUGACAUCUUCCCCCUGAGGAUCAGUGUCCUCUUCGGGAUAAGCCGUUGAGGGAAGAACACAAAGACUUUGCAUCCAUCUUUGUCAUUCUCAUUCAUAGUCAUAGACUUCACACUUGGCUUGUCUGCUUUCCCAGAAGAGGGAUUCCUCUUGCUUGAAAAAUCUUAAAAUUCCUGAGGCUGGGACACUCCUAUCCCCUCACAAUGCUAAUUUUCUACCAACCGUUAUUUGUGGUCACAGCCUGGUUUCUCUCUUUCUUGGCCACUACCGAGAGGCUGGAAUUUCAACAAUCAUUUUCAUUUAAGAAUUGCUUAGUCACGCUUGAGUUCAAUGGGCUGCUUCAGAGGCUCAGCUCAGUGCGUCUAUGCUGAGGGGAAAUAUGUCGCUUCUGCAAUCUGUCUGGUCUGCAGGCUUAAAGAACAGAAGACCUUCAGGAAACCCGAGCUUCUGAGAGCGAGAUCUGCUUUGGUGGAAAGAAGAUGAGCAACUUUUGAGCAUCUGUAACGCCCAGCUGCUCCCUGGCACUGGGAGCACUUAUUUCGCUUCCCCGGUAGCCUGGAGAGCACCACGGGAAAGCGUCGGCUGCCUGAGAGCACAGUGGGUUGGUCUGCACUUUGGCUGAAGGAGGAAACGUGAAUCGGAGAGCUGACUGGUGUUUCCACCAACGUCUCUGUGGAACCUGGUCUGAAGGGCUCUGUCAUCGGCCCAUCGCUGAAAAACUCGCUCAUCAAUGACUUGUCUGACAAUAUAAUAAUAUGAAUCUGACCUCUGGAGUUGGCAGGAAGCUAACGGAUAAGACACAUAUAUGAGAUGAUGCGGUAGGUUCCUCAAAAGAUCUGGACAGGAAAGGUGAUGGAAAUCGAACACGUGAAGUUUAACAGAGGCCACAGAAGUUUUGCGCCUCCUCCCACGGAAACCAAAUAGAGGUCUAAGGUGGGCAUAUGAAACGUUACAGUCGUCGGUCUGCAGAAGAAGGGAGGCUAUUUCCUGAGCCCCCAUUAGCUCUGGCCUGGACCACUUCAGCCACCUCCCAACUUUCACGUGCAUUAUUCUUCUAAUUAGUUCAGUAUUAUAGGGACGUGAAGGAGCUUCUCAAAAUGUGUAUCUUAAGAAACUUAUCCUCAAACAUGUUUUCUUUACUCUUAGCUUCGUUCUAAAGUCUUCAACAUGCCUUCCAAGGUCUCCGUGACAUAUUUCUCCUUACCCUUCCAGCCUCACCUCUGCACCACUCCCUCUCUGGGCCAUUUCGUGCUUGACUGAAGAGACUGUGGUUGUAUUUCUCAGUUACUCAACUCUCUCUCCCUCCACUCUGCUGAACAGCACCCAUGAAUAUUUCGGAGCUUAUCGAAAUGUCAGUUUCUCAGAGAACCAUUACUAGCUUGGGUCCUUUUGCAUCCUUAAUAUUCUGUAACCUCUUUCAGAAGAAAUACACACAGAGUAUGUUGAUUUACUCUGUCUCUCCACGUAGACCACCUAAAAUCUUCGUGGGAUCGAGAACCACGUACAUCUGUUUCUUGUGUCUUGCCUAGUGAAGACGCCAGUGUAUUUAUGGAGUAAAUGUAUUAACAAAUCACACUUUAAGAUGUCCCUACCAUUCAGCGUUAAUGGCGUAGUAGAGCUUGAAGUGGGUAAGGUACUCCUUGGUUUUCAACAAAGUUCGAAGGGCAAGACGUCAAUAAAUAGAAAAACAUUGACUGCUUCUAAGUGAAGAAGACCUUGCAAAUAGAUGCCAUAUUUAUGUGAGCAUUGAUUUGCUUGGUGAGUUAUGGAGCACCUAUAGCCUUAUUACGCAGAUUGCGGUCCACGAACCUGCAGCCUCAGCAGCACAUGGACAGUCGUAAGAAAUGCAGACUCUUGAGUCUCCUCCCAAACCUGCUGAAUCACAAUCUGCAUUUUAACAAGGUCCCCAGGUGAUUACAAGCACAUUAAAAAUUUAGAAGUAUUGAUCCAUAGUAUCUUUAUAUUUAUGCUAUUAGCUAUUGAAAAUUAUUAUUUAAAAAUUUUCAACACAGUCACGCACCGCUCAGUGAUGGGGUACACUCUGGGAAAUGCAUUGUUAGGUGCUUUCAUCAUUGCGGGAACAGUCAUAGAGUGCACUUACACAGACCUAUAUGGUGUAGCCUACUACACAUCUGGGCUGUGUGCUACUAAUCUCAAGGGACCACUGUUGUGUAUGAGGUCCGUCGCUGACCGAAAUGUGAUGUGGUGCAUAACAGUGUAACAGAUAGAGCGCAUCACUGGGAGACAAUAAACUGAAUAACUGAUGGUUGGUUUCCAUCACCCUCCAAUGGGCAUCCCUUAUAAGGAAAUGUACAGACCACAUUUGGCCAUUCUCAAGAUCAGGGCACAAUCAGGAUUUUUCUCUACCAAACAAACAAACAAACAAAACCUUUCAAAGUCGAAUCAGCAGAGAAAGCAGAUGGCAAACAACCUCACAGUUUAAAAUUCCUUCUGCAAGCCCGUGAUGUAUUACAAGCAGCUAGUCUGUAGCCUGCUGUUUGGAAUAUACCUUCGAAACAGACGUUUCUGAAAACCGUGUCAUUUCAGUGACCGAGUUGCUGCGUGCCACCGCAGUCACUGAGACCGACUUCUAAUUAUUUUGGCUUCCUUCCUGUAAAUUACCAGAGAAAAGUCUAACUCCCCAUAUGGUUUGCUGAUACACUAAUAGUCACAAACCAUCUUCAGGUGCAGUUAAUCUCUAGUCAGGUGCUCCGUAUACUGGAGCAACCACUGGUUAAUUUUGUUAGCCAGGAAGAAUUCUACUGUGAAUAAUCUUAUUUGCCUCGUGUGAACGUUCAUCCACGAAUGCAUAUCACAGAGAACACAUUUUAAGUGCUGGCUCCCCAUGAACCUCAUCCCAACACUGGCGAUGGAACUCCGCCAGAGGUCCAGGACUUUGGUCCGAGUUAGUAAUCUGGGACGAGGGGCUUCUUUUUCCCCUGCCAUGUUUCUGCUGCUGUUUUAUUAAGCGUUGCAGAGUGUCCUGUCAACCUCACCCAGAAAGACAUCGCUCUCUCUCCAGAAGUCUUGGAAUCUAAGCCCGUCUGACAGUACAACUCCGACGUGUUUCUAAUAAUCGUUUAGAAGCUCUGUGACAGAAUUCUUUUUCCAUCUGUCAAGAACGAUACACAGGCAUUUUGAUCACUGUCACAAUUUAGAGAGCAGGUAACGAUGCACAAGCUGAGAAUUCCCCUCCCAGACUCAGUGAUGGAUUCUGGUUGAGGCUCAAAGAUUUAAUGAAACCCGAGUUUGAAUGUAGAACACGUUUUUCCACUUUCUCCUUGCUCACCCAGGAGCUUUGCUGACCCAUGUCUCUCCCUUCUCUAUGAUCUUCGAUUGCUCCUAUUUUUCUUUUUCCCAGAAAGAGUAAUAUAGACAGG